rnacentral:lncRNA from 1 species
AUGAUAAUUGUUUCUAUGAACGCUGCAUGUAGUGAGAUCCAAAUGGGUUGCCAGUGCUCUGCACUUACACUGGUCUGGACUAGAGUUUCUUAUGUCCAAUGGGGGCUUUUUUGGGAAACACCACUAUGGUAUUUUAUGGCUUUAGAAAUGCUAUUUGCCAGUGACUCCUUCCCCGACUGUAGCCUACCCACUAUUCUCCAUAGUCUUGUCACUGUUUCAGUCUGGCAAGAUGCUGGUUAUCUCCUGCUCUAUGGGACAGCAAGCAGUGGAGAAUGGUCUGGGGACAGGGGGUUUCAGAGAUGGGAAGUCCUGCAGCAGCCCCCAAGGCAGUGGGAAGACAUACCAAGGUGCCAGAGAUGGUUGUACCUGGAGUCUGAGCAGAACAUGCUGGUGCCACUGUCUGUGCCCAGUGUCAUUGAUUACUGCACUCUGGGAAAGACAACGGGAAAGGUCUGCCUUUAGAUCAUUCUCACCUCAGAGAAUAGUGUUCCCAUAUGGCAAGACCUCAUCUAUGAAGAAGCGUCCAGCUUUACCCCUCACGGAUGAGAGAAGAAAUGUCAAUAGCAAAUGGUGAAUUAGACUGGGUAUCUGACAUCCAGCAGCACUGGGACCUACCCAGUAAAACUCAUUUCCGAGAAAUUAAAUAACAUGCUGCCAAUGAAAAGGAACAUGACCACUGAAAUGGGGUUUAACACUGAGAAGGGAAUCAGCCAAUUACAAGCACCUUGUAAACAUCCAAUUGGAGUGAGCAAAACUGAUGGGGGAAUUUCUUUUUGCCUAGGGAAAUUUGACCACAAUCUUUAAUAAUGUCUUCACAUUUCACAAGUCCUAAUAACAACAGCUUGUGUUCACAUAAUGCCUUUCAUCCUGGAGCAACCCAAAGUGCUUUACAAGUGACUUAGCAAACUAUAUAACGAUAUUCACCCCCUCAUCCCCCUCAAGGUUGAAAACUGACUGCAAUUGGCAAUGUUUUCCUUUCGGUUUCCAAUGUUCCAUGAGUAUUUCUCUAGGCCAUUGCUAUUAUUUCUU